AGGUCUGAUACUUUGUCCUUCCUUGAAACUAAAGAUGCUGGAGUUACCUAAAUGGAAAAGGGCAUCAGAGAUGUGUAAAGAGAUUGAAAAGCGAUACCAGUUAAGAUGCUUUUAUUUUGAAGUAGGUUUAAGAUUGAAAUAACAUUGUGUUAUUUGUUGCAUGCAUGUACUAACAAUAAAGUUUAUAGAAAUAAGACGAACAAGAGACAAAUAAAAAACAAAUACUGUAUCAAUUAAUCGAAUUCAAAGAAAACACCAAUUGAAACUAACCAAAAUAUGUUUCCUUUUUAUGUAAAAUAAGUGUAAAAAAUAACACGGAAUGAAUAAUAAACAUAAUUUUUAUGUAAGUUAUGUUUGUAGGAGUUAUAAUAUCUAGAAUAUCAGUGGAAUUUUAUGGUUUUGUGGGAACACGUGAAGUCGCCAUUAUUAUCUGUACAAAAAUCGACAGACCAGGAUACAAUAUAUCCCAUUUCAAGUCUUUCCCCAAUCGGAAGGUAUUUCUUUUGUUUUAAAUCAGUUGGGUAUUUCAAAUUUAUGAGAGAUAGCUCAAAAUGUUAAAAUCUUCACGGUUUGAAUAUCCACAAUGACACCUUUGUUUUACUGACACAAGUACAAACCCGUAGAAGCCAAUCUUUAUUUGAACAAAAUAUUAAUUUUCGCCACCCUUUUGUUAUUCUACACUAAUGUUUUAAAAUUCAAAAUCGUACAUUGAAGUUAAAUAAACCGUAAUUCAUUAAGUGUUUUCCUAUUAGUGCGUGAUGUUAUACAUUUUUAAAAUACUAGAUCUUGUUUUCAGUUAAAUAUUUAAUUUGCAUCUGCAGCUAAAUAAUUCAUUGAGAAUAUCGAAUGUUAAAUUAAAAUCUAUUUCUGCAUAACAAAUUUUGUUUUGUCUGGUAAUAACUUAUUACACAUAAAAAAAAUUCUUUUGCGUUUUUCUUAUUAUUUUGAAAUUAUAGUUAUAGAUAAACAAAUUAGUCUUUAAACAUCAUUAUACAACACUCUACGAAGUGUCAGGGUUAAUUUGGACAGUCCAAGUGAAUUAUGGUUUUUGAAAGAUAACUGAACAUCAUACUUUGAAAAUUCAUUUUUUUGGGGGUCAUGUAUGCUAUGAUCAAGACAUUUAUAAAUUUAAGGCCAUCAUUUUGGAGUUCGAGGUCACACAUAAUAAACAUAUUCGAGGUUGUUCAGAAAAAGGAGUUCCGGAGAAAUCAUAAAUAAAUUCCCGUCGACCGCACUGGAACCUUACAAGAGAUUGAAAGAGAAUAUAUUAUUAGGUUAUAUACGAAGAGAACAUCAAUAUAGUUUGGGGUCAUUACCUUCAUGGUCAAGGUCGCGAAUGCUAUUAGUAUAAUAGACAUUUAUAAGUGCUGAACAAUGAAGACCAAAGUAAUGGUACAUCUAAUAAGAGGACAUGCUUUUGGUUGAUAGGGAAAGAGUCUUACUUGCUUGGAAUUUUGGUAUAUGGUUACACUAAGAAAACGAUUCUAAUGAGUUUUGGGGUAAAAGCUUCUGACGUAAGGUCGUCGUAGAUUUCUGAAAUUCAACUGACAUCUGUACAGAGAUAUUUUUGUUGAUUCUUAAAAUACCAAGAAACGUACUUUGAAGUAGAUUGAAAUCAAAUUGUAUAUACUGCAAUCUGAUAUAUUUAAGAACAAUAGGGAUUGCUUGGCAAAGUUAAUAAACAAUGCACAAGAAAAAACUAAGGAUGGCUAACAAAGUUUAGAGACGCGUGUGCAUCUUUAAGUUAUAGACACGUGUGAAUCUCAAAGUUUCAUAUUGAAUUAAUGUGUCCCCCGUACUAAUACCUCUAAUACAAAAUAAAAAUUAAAAUUACCGUACAAUCCUGUAUGAAAUUUAAAAUAGUGUGAGUCAUCUCCCCUUAUAAGGCUUAAUUAAUGUUUAAUCAACAAAAAUAUUCAGUUUUUGUGAAAAUGGUCGUUAUAAUAAGAUGAAAUAAGAUAACUUUCUUCAUUUAGAUGAAACGCUUACAAAUGAAUUGCCACCUGCCUCAAAAUAUCCUUUUUAAAUAAAAAUCCAGUCAAUUGUUUUCUGCUAUUUUACGAUCUAAGAUUGCGGAAGACACCCAUACCAUUUGUGCUUAGCUGCAUAAAGUUCAAAUGUUAUCCAGCAAUAUACAUCUCUGCUGAAGAUACUUAGAUACGAUGUUGCAAACUUUACACGUUUAUAUGAAAUUGACAUCAUAGAAUAUUUUUGAUAGUUUUACUUCCGAAACAAUUUUUGGUUUGGACAAUCCUGAUACACACAAAAAAAAUAUACUAAAAUAAAUAAAAACGCAGGAGAGUAAUUUGUUUAUCUAUUUAGAAAUGUGAUAUAUAAUGUUGUUACGAUCCCAAACUUCAUAUACACUGGAAAUGUUAGUGCAUAUUGAACGACUUUUUUUAAACUUGCGUGGUUGUGGAAUAAAUUCAGGGGAAUUUUGCCCUACAUCUCUAAAAAAAAAAGGCUUGAAAAGAAGUGCCAUCAGCAUCACGAAAAUGCAAAUAAAUCGAUGUACCAGACCAUUCCGUUUUUUAUUGGAUCCAAAAGUGAUGCUAUAAUUGCAUGCUAAGGUCUUCAAACAGCUAAAUAUACCAAUGCAAUUUUGCUGCGAGUUUACACCUUUUGUAUGAAUGUUGCCCUCUUCUUGACCAUGCAGCCAUGUUCGCGUGAUUACAUUUUGCAAAACAUUGGUUUUUAUGGUAUUUUAAGGACAUAUCAUGAAAAUAACUAUAUUCAUGUCAUGAAAACAUCCAUUGUACAGCAGCUUCACCUGAGUGUGUGGCUUUCACUACCACAAAACCUUUGAACGGAAAACUAGUCUGUAAUUAUUCGAGGUUGUUAUGAAGUCUAUACAUAGGAAGAACUGGAAGCUUUUUCAGUACCGAGAAUGGCCGUUCUGUUAUAUAACAUUUAGACAAAGAGGACAUGAGAGCGGCAUGUGUCUUUUUUGAGACUUCAGUAAUAUAAACAAUCUAAAAAACGGUGUAUUUAAAAUAUAAACUAAAAAUAAUGGUCCGAUAUAGAAAUGCUUAUUUUGCAUGUCAUGUAUACAUUAUAAUUUUUGUCCGUUACGUAGAACGUAACAAUACUGACGAUAUGUUUAGUUCGCAGAGGUUUUGUUUUCUGUAAAUGAUGCCCGCUGGUUAUGUUGAUCAAAAUUAACAUAUUAGUGUAGUGUUGUACAUUUUAAUAUGGGAGACCCUAUUUUUGAUGGUGAUUUUCAUUUAGUUCGAAGAUGAUGUGGGAAUUCCUUCUAACCUAUACACAUCUAUAAUGUAACAAAGCCAGUCCCAUAGAAAGUUAUGAAAGAAUGCACCUCGUUAAACAUUCCUUUAUGCCAGGUAAACGAAGCACGAGAAAAAUAAUAUAACUGAAAUUCAAUCAUGCAAUGAAAGUUAUGACAGCUAAUGUAGAAUUUAAUUGUUGUGUUACGUCGUCAGUUAAUAGUCCCUUGAUAGUUUGUUUACAAUUAACGCUAUCUCCAGUGGGUAAAAACCUGAAACAACUGGGUAUCGAACUCUUGAAUCUACCCUUUUAUGUUUCCAGAUAUACAUCAUUUCUAACAAUAAAUGGUUUGAAAAUCUGAUAUCUAUUUGAGAAUAAAGAAGAAAGUACUCGAUAUUGACGGUUUGUGUAUCAACCCGAGUCGUUCAUCAAACAUGUCGCUAUUACGUUUGUUUAUUCAAUUCAGCAACUAGAAAGGCAUUAGCGAUUAAUGUAACAAUACCCUAUAAAACAGAUCGACAGAUAGGUAAAUGAAAAGAGUAAUGGUGUUAUAUGCUAUUUGAUCGGGUAUUUCAAAUUGAACAAAUUUGUUGACCUUAAAUCAUUUAACGACUGCCGUAAGUGGGUAUUGUCAUAUCCCGACAAUCAAUGCCGAGCUUACUUCCGGUAAUAUAUCACAAGUUCCAAGACGGUUCUGGUUAGAUAUAGUCUGGAAAAAUGGCAAUUGAUCUUGUUUCAAACAAUUUCUGGUAGCAAUAUAAGCGGCAUAUUUGUCAUUUAAGUAUAUUGCUGCGGUCGGAAGGACAAUAUAUCAAUAAAGACGAGCUGUUUGCCAUAAAAGCGUGUCUACCAUGUAGCCACACUUCAAUGCAAUUAUACUAAUUGUAUUUAAUAGGUAAACUGACAAAUUGAUGGGAUCCUUUGCUGUUUCGACAAUACAGCACCAUAAUGUUUGACGAUUUGCUAUUAAUCACCUUCCUGAUUUAUGGAAUUGAAGGGGAUUUCUUUCUAAAAUUGGCAUAAUUGAGAUUAGUAGAAGUCUAAGAUGUCGUAUAAAAUUUUGAAACUGCUAGUAAAGAAUAUUUAUUGUAAUGAUUGAUGAAGAGGUUCAUGUUUGUUUCAUUUUUUUACUAGUGGCAAGGGCAUAACACUGCAAAGAUAAACAAUCUAAAAACUCUGUAUUUUCCCAGAAUUAAUUUUGCACUUUUGUUUUGGUUUAAUGCAUAACAAAGAAAUUGACAAAGUAAUAUGAUUAUUACUUUUUUAAGUUGCUUUUUGUUAAAUUGAUUCGUGCCGUAUUUUCCUCAUACAAUUAGCUUGAUAAAGUCUAUGAGACCUCAAGGUUAGAACAGUUAUUAGGUCUGUAAGUUGAAAUUUAAGUCCUGCUUGACAAGUUUAGUCUUGCAGAAAUCCUCUGCUUUUAAGAUAAUUUAUAAUUUCUCGAAAAUACCGUAUCCCUAAUAAAUGCUCUAAAUUUUGUGGAAACUGUUUUAAAAAAAACAUAUAUCAUACUUGCCUCAAAUCCGUCAAGAACCUGUUAUUCAGUGCAUGGUUAUCUUUUGUUGCUUGAUAUCAUUAACUCGUUUUUCGUUUGUUGUAAGUUUGUACAAUUUGCGUUUGUGUUGUGCUGUUGUACCACUGGUAAGGCACAUGUUUAACCACCCCACAUUCUGUAUGAAUCUGUCCCAAGUCAGGAACCUAACAUAACUAGUAAUAUUUUGUAAAAGUAAACCAUUUUAGGUCAAAGUAGUACGGUCUUCAAGACGUAGCAUUGGCUCACAUCGAUCAUCUAGCUUUAAAGGGCCCCAAAAAGGACAAGUGUAAAACCAUUCAAAAAGGAAAACCAACAGACUAAUCUAAUCUAAAGUAUUGAUACAUCCUUGGUUUAAAGGUUUUUGGGGUUGAGCAUUCCUGGUGUAGGCGAAUCCUGAUAAUACCAUCGUAGCUACCCGAGUUUAAAAGUCAUUUCUAUGGAUUUUUUCACCACAGAAAGUUAAACGAAAAAAGAAAACCAGAGAACAUACUUUGUAUUACACACCAAACUAUUGACUACCCAAACACCAAAUUUACAAGCAAAACAACUGACAGAAGGGGAAAAUAUCAAACUCACCAUUAUUUUUUAAAUUUUCUUUACAGAUAACGUAAACGAAAUGCAUUUGUUCGUAACUUAACCAGAGUUGAAGAUGCUGUCUUGUAUCCCUGCAGUAUAUACUUGUAAAACAAUGAGCUGAAAUAGCUUUUAGAAGCAGAAGAUAAUGAAGAAUGAAACAAGUUGUAGAUAAUUGGAUUAACUUUUAGAAGCAGAAGAUAAUGGAGAAGACAAUCAAAGUUUCAGGUAAGGGACGACAUCAAAAGAUCGAUGUAGGAUAAAAAACUUAAAUUGAAUAGUUUGGGGGUGGGGGGUCAACAUUGCUGCAAGUUUUGUUAAUCUGAAAUCGAUUUUACAUAUAUCCAUAUAGGUAAAUCAAUUUUUCCCAAAUUAAGUUAAGAAGGGGGGUAGGGGGGUCAGCGAAAAAACUAUGUGAAUUAAGUUUUUUAUCCUACAUUGAACUUUUGAUGUCGUCCCUAAGUGUAUCAAAAUAAAUAAAAAAACAAUUCUAUAAACUGAUAGCCUUGAGAAACUUGAUAAGAAAUAAGUUCUGCAACUUCAAGAAAUUAAGAAAAGGAAGAGGUUAAGUCAUAAAAAAAUAUAGGCUUGGUUGAUCGUAUUAACUGCAUUUUAGAGGUGUUUCAGAGAUUCGUCGCGUUAAGUUUUUACAAGGAUAUAUGUUAUAAGGUAAAUAUGUUAUAUUUUGGUCUUGCAUAUCUGAAAGUUGCCCAUCUCUUGUUUAUCGUAAACACGAGUUUGCAAAGGACAUGUACUUAAUUUUCUUACGACAAAAAGAUGUAAAUAUGGCUUGUAGCUAGAAAUAGUUCUAAGUAGACUGUUUUUCUGAAGUCAUAAAAAUGCAACAACAAAAAUGAUUAAAUUAAAUGCUUGUUAAAAAAAAGGUAUAUUAAUUCUGAAUAACACAAUAAUAGGAAUAAAUCGAAUAAAAUGACAUGUAAUAUCCUGAAUCAGUUGCAUAUAAACACGAAAAGUAAAAUCUUACGAAAUGACAAGUAAAACGAAAUAAGUUUGAAAGUUUUCAAAAAAACAAAUGAACUAUUUAUGUAGUUACGGAUACGUAUAACAAUGCUGAGUUUUAAUAUAAAAUAUUGAUGAAGGCAGAUUUUACAAUUAAGCAACCUUUCCAUUCAUUUCAGACAAUUAAACUAUUGUGGUUAAACCGGCUGAUAGAAUAUGAAGUCCGGCCAUUGUUCUGUGGAUUUACCGGGUACAUUAAUAUGAAACCGAGGUCAAACAGAUCAUCAGAAUGAUUUUUUCUCAGGAGCUGGAGCAGUCAUGCAUAGAGGGGUUAAUAAUUAGGUCAAGAGAACCGGUCACUCAGAAGCACUUUACAGUUGGACAUUUCAAUUUAUUUCUAAUUAGUGACCAAAACAUUAUUUGUGUCAACGUUUGAUGGUGUUGACAUUUUAUAUUGCAGGUGUAUAGGGAUUUUCAUUAUUUGUUUUAGUCGUGAUUCAUAACUCUGGAUUGUUUGUAACAGAAAA
rnacentral:lncRNA from 1 species